rnacentral:rRNA from 1 species
UACGGGGGGGGCAAGCGUUGUUCGGAAUUACUGGGCGUAAAGGGCUCGUAGGCGGCCAACUAAGUCGGACGUGAAAUCCCCAGGCUCAACCUGGGAACUGCGUCUGAUACUGGAUGGCUUGAAUCCGGGAGAGGGAUGCAGAAUUCCAGGUGUAGCGGUGAAAUGCGUAGAUAUCAGGAGGAACACCAAUUGCGAAGGCAGCUCGCUGGGACGUAACUGACGCUGAGACGCGAAAGCGUGGGGAGCAAACAGG